CUUCACCGAACCCAACCACAACGGCCGCUCGACGGACCGGCCCCGACCAUAAGUCGCCAACAAGGCCUGCGCCUC
rnacentral:antisense_RNA from 1 species